UUCGCAAUGCCCGAAAGGGUGACGAAGCGACGCCGCGUGUGGGAAGAAGGCCUUCGGGUUGUAAACCACUGUCGGGAGUUAAGAAAUGUAAGGAUAUGAAUAGUGUCCUUGCUUGACUAAGGCUCCGGAGGAAGCCACGGCUAACUCUGUGCCAGCAGCCGCGGUAAUACAGAGGCGGCAAGCGUUGUUCGGAAUUAUUGGGCGUAAAGAGCACGUAGGCGGCCUUGUAAGUCAGUUGUGAAAGCCUUCUGCUUAACGGAAGAACAGCAGCUGAUACUGCAAGGCUAGAGUGCGGAAGGGGAGAGUGGAACUUCUGGUGGAGCGGUGAAAUGCGUAGAUAUCAGAAGGAACGCCGGCGGCGAAAGCGACUCUCUGGACCGCAACUGACGCUGAGUGUGCGAAAGCUAGGGGAGCAAACGGGAUCAGAUACCCCGGUAGUCCUAGCCGUAAACGAUGGGCACUAAGUAGAGGGGUUUU
rnacentral:rRNA from 1 species